rnacentral:tRNA from 2 species
CGGGUGUAGCUCAAUGGUAGAGCCCCAGCCUUCCAAGCUGGUCACGAGGGUUCGAUUCCCUUCACCC